rnacentral:rRNA from 1 species
UGGCUCAGAUUGAACGCUGGCGGCAUGCCUAACACAUGCAAGUCGAACGGCAGCAUGACCUAGCUUGCUAGGUUGAUGGCGAGUGGCGGACGGGUGAGUAACGCGUAGGAAUAUGCCUUAAAGAGGGGGAUAACUUGGGGAAACUCAAGCUAAUACCGCAUAAUCUCUGAGGAGAGAAGCUGGGGACCUUCGGGCCUGGCGCUUUAAGAUUAGCCUGCGUCCGAUUAGCUAGUUGGUGGGGUAAGGGCCUACCAAGGCGACGAUCGGUAGCUGGUCUGAGAGGAUGGCCAGCCACACUGGGACUGAGACACGGCCCAGACUCCUACGGGAGGCAGCAGUGGGGAAUAUUGGACAAUGGGGGCAACCCUGAUCCAGCAAUGCCGCGUGUGUGAGGAAGGCCUGAGGGUUGUAAAGCACUUUCAGUGGGGAGGAGGGCUUCCGGGUUAAGAGCUGGGAAGUUGGACGUUACCCACAGAAGAAGCACCGGCUAACUCCGUGCCAGCAGCCGCGGUAAUACGGAGGGUGCGAGCGUUAAUCGGAAUUACUGGGCGUAAAGGGUGCGUAGGUUGUUGAAUAAGUUAUCUGUGAAAUCCCUGGGCUUAACCUGGGCAGUCAGAUAAGACUGUUUGACUCGAGUAUGGGAGAGGAUAGUGGAAU